GCCCAAAUGGUGGAAUGGUAGACACAGUUGACUCAAAAUCAACCGAGAAAUCGUGCAGGUUCAAGUCCUGUUUUGGGCA
rnacentral:tRNA from 1 species